rnacentral:rRNA from 1 species
CCUACGGGAUGCAGCAGUGAGGAAUAUUGGUCAAUGGACGAGAGUCUGAACCAGCCAAGUAGCGUGAAGGAUGACUGCCCUAUGGGUUGUAAACUUCUUUUAUAUGGGAAUAAAAUGUUCCACGUGUGGGAUUUUGUAUGUACCAUAUGAAUAAGGAUCGGCUAACUCCGUGCCAGCAGACGCGGUAAUACGGAGGAUCCGAGCGUUAUCCGGAUUUAUUGGGUUUACAGGGAGCGUAGGUGGAUUGUUAAGUCAGUUGUGAACGUUUGCGGCUCAACCGUAAAAUUGCAGUUGAAACUGGCAGUCUUGAGUACAGUAGAGGUGGGCGGAAUUCGUGGUGUAGCGGUGAAAUGCUUAGAUAUCACGAAGAACUCCGAUUGCGAAGGCAGCUCACUGGACUGCAACUGACACUGAGGCUCGAAAGUGUGGGUAUCAAACAGGAUUAGAUACCCGUGUAGUC